rnacentral:rRNA from 1 species
UGAGCCAAGUUUAGGGUUUCUUAAAAACCCAAGCAGUAUUGAACUGAAGAGUUUGAUCAUGGCUCAGAUUGAACGCUGGCGGCAGGCCUAACAC